CGCACCGGCGAGCAACAGGAGGGAGACUCAGCCGCUGCAUUGUUGGAGACGUUCGAGGACGAAUCCCUUUCCACAUGCGAAGCCUACUCCACCUCCGUCGCGGAGCCCCCGGCUGCCCUGCCUCCUCUCCACCAGCUGCAGCGGCUCCUCUCCAGCACCAGCUCGGACACCGACACCAGCACGUCACAGCAACGUCUUAUCACCGGCAAGAGGAAAGAGGGCCACAGAAAACUGGACCUUCCUAGCGUACUUGUGGAGAUGCAGGCUGAGGAGGAGUGGAGUCAUGCCCAGCAUGAUGAGAACAUCUGGUUGCUCCUCAGCGAGGCAAGAGAGAAUGAAGCGGCCUUGCAGCGGGAGGAGAUGGCCCAGAAUACUGCCUUCAACCAGUCAUUCCUGGGUGUGCUGGGGUAGCUGGGUAGGCAGUGGGCAGCCGGCGAGUGUGAGCGAGUCCACCUCCCAUAGACUUGAGAUUUACAAGUGCUGGUCAUAUAAUUAGAAUAUCAUGAAAAAGCUCGUCUUUUGGACAACUGUCAGGUCAGC
ensembl:lncRNA